rnacentral:rRNA from 1 species
UACGAAGGGGGCUAGCGUUGUUCGGAAUCACUGGGCGUAAAGCGCACGUAGGCGGAUCUUUAAGUCAGGGGUGAAAUCCCGAGGCUCAACCUCGGAACUGCCUUUGAUACUGGGGAUCUCGAGUCCGGGAGAGGUGAGUGGAACUGCGAGUGUAGAGGUGAAAUUCGUAGAUAUUCGCAAGAACACCAGUGGCGAAGGCGGCUCACUGGCCCGGAACUGACGCUGAGGUGCGAAAGCCAGGGGAGCGAACGGG